GAGCACAUGAUUGCAUGGGGUUCUUUCAGUGAGGGUCUGGACUGAGGGAACACACGGUGCGUGAGGUCUUCACCAAAACCUUGCUGGGCAGAAAAAGAAAGACUUGCAUGGAGAUAGGUGGAAGAGUGAUCAUCUGUUGAACAAAGAUUGAAAGUGCUGAGUAGCUGUCUCCUCCCCUGAGCAACACAGCCUGGACACCCCAAGAGAGGAUGUUGAAGCCUUUACAGCAGAAGCUGUAGUAUAUUUUGAAAAGCAAUUUGGUUUCUGAAAGAAAAGAUUUAGUCACAUUGAGGAGUUGAGAAAGGUCAGUAUGAGAAUAAGAAAAAAGUGCUUAGGCAUUACUUCUUUUCUUUUUUCAAUGUAGUUAUUCCAUUACCACAGUUA
rnacentral:lncRNA from 1 species